rnacentral:rRNA from 1 species
AGUGAACGCUGGCGGCAGGCCUAACACAUGCAAGUCGAACGGCAGCACGGCAGUAGCAAUACUGUGGGUGGCGAGUGGCGGACGGGUGAGGAAUACAUCGGGAUCUACCCUGUUGUGGGGGAUAACGUAGGGAAACUUACGCUAAUACCGCAUAAGAACUGAGGUUGAAAGCGGCGGACCGCAAGACGUCGCGCGAUUGGAUGAACCGAUGUCCGAUUAGCUAGUUGGCGGGGUAAAGGCCCACCAAGGCGACGAUCGGUAGCUGGUCUGAGAGGACGACCAGCCACACUGGAACUGAGACACGGUCCAGACUCCUACGGGAGGCAGCAGUGGGGAAUAUUGGACAAUGGGCGCAAGCCUGAUCCAGCCAUGCCGCGUGGGUGAAGAAGGCUGUGUAG